ACGUGCAGGGGUGUGGGUCCCCCACGUGUCUUGGGGUGGACGCUGUGUCUUUUAUCCGUCUCCACACCACCUGGAGGCGAUCAACAUACCAUACGUGUUCGACAUAGUUUUUUUUUUUAAGUUUUUAUUUUUCCUUUUUCUCCCCAAAGCCCCCCCCCCCCCCCACAUACACAUAGUUGUAUACUUUCGUUGUGGGUCCUUCUAGUUGUCGCACGUGGGACGCCGCCUCAGCCUGGCUCGGUGGGCGGGGCCGGGUCGGUGCCGGGAUCCGAAUGGUGAAACCCUGGGCCGCCCAACCGCGUGGGAACUUAGCCACUCGGCCACCGGGCGGCCCCUUGAGGUAGUUUUUGGAUGAGUCGGUGUUUUUGUGUUCCUCGUCUUACCCGCCAAGCGCACGGAGCUUGGGUUCACCUGGAACUACACCUAACGAGACGGAAUAAAAGGCAAGCGCGUUCGGUCGGAAGGACGAUUCGUGGGAUUGGCUGUAGGCUCAGGACGAAAUUACAGUCAAAGCCAGCUUUCCGAGACGAAAGGUGAUUUAAGGAGACUGAGGUCAAAGAAGUACAAGAAGAUGUGGGUGUAGACCACCGUAUCCUAAUCUAUCUUCAUUUCCUUUCCAGUGUGUUACUGGGUCAGUAGAUUCUGCUUACUCAUUUCUUAAAAUUACUUUUUACUUCAUUUAUUAGCACCACGUCUUGAAGAUCUUGUUCAUUGAUAAAAACAUUUCUGAAUAUUCUUUGCCUCAAAAUGUACACCCAGCGUUAGUGUGUAAAUCGAAAGAAAAUUAAUUCUUGCUUUAUG
rnacentral:lncRNA from 1 species